rnacentral:rRNA from 1 species
GACGGAGGAUGCAAGCGUUAUCCGGAAUUAUUGGGCGUAAAGCGUCCGCAGGUGGCUGUUCAAGUCUGCUGUCAAAGCGCAGAGCUUAACUCUGUACAGGCGGUGGAAACUGAAGAGCUAGAGUAUGGUAGGGGUAGAGGGAAUUCCCGGUGUAGCGGUGAAAUGCGUAGAUAUCGGGGGGAAUACCAGUGGCGAAAGCGGCACCCUAGCGUUAGCCUGACGCUCAUGUGCGAAAGCGUGGGGAGCGAACGGG